rfam:Apaloderma vittatum contig91346, whole genome shotgun sequence.
GGCCAGUUAGCUCAGUCAGUUGAGCGUGGCGCUACUAACGCCAAGGUCGCAGGUUCAAUUCCCGUUCGGUUCC